rnacentral:lncRNA from 1 species
CCGCUGUACAGUCCAAAGUUGGAUACUUGCUAUCAGGACCUAUACAAUUGAACACUAACAGUAAUAAUCAAUCAACGUCAUCGAUUAUGAAUAUUUUGACCCCACACAGACUAGAAGAAUGUGAAAUACAUAAAUUUUGGGAAAUCGAAUCCAUAGGUACAGAAAAUGACAGUGAAGUAAAAGCGAAAACGGACUUACAAGAAAUGACCACUUACCAAGAGAAUAACAUUCAUUUGAAAGACAAUAGGUACAUCGCCAAGUUCCCAUGGAAACAGGAACAUCCGGAGUUGCCUAGCAACGAGAUGAUCGCCAGAAAGAGAGCAUACAACGUGAUAAACCGACUUGCUAAAGAACCAGAGAUGCUUAAGAUAUA